rnacentral:rRNA from 1 species
CAGUCGCCACGGUAAUACGUAGGGUGCAAGCGUUAAUCGGAAUUACUGGGCGUAAAGCGUGCGCAGGCGGUUUUGUAAGACAGAGGUGAAAUCCCCGGGCUCAACCUGGGAACUGCCUUUGUGACUGCAAGGCUGAAGUGCGGCAGAGGGGGAUGGAAUUCCGCGUGUAGCAGUGAAAUGCGUAGAUAUGCGGAGGAACACCGAUGGCGAAGGCAAUCCCCUGGGCCUGCACUGACGCUCAUGCACGAAAGCGUGGGGAGCAAACAGGAUUAGAUACCCGCGUAGUCCCUGUCUCUUAUAC